rnacentral:rRNA from 1 species
UCGAGAAUCUUUCGCAAUGGGCGAAAGCCUGACGAAGCGACGCCGUGUGUGCGAUGAAGGCCUUCGGGUUGUAAAGCACUUUCGCUUGGGAACAAGAGAAGCAGGCUAAUAUCCUGCUAAUUUGAGGGUACCAGGUAAAGAAGCACCGGCUAACUACGUGCCAGCAGCUGCGGUAAUACGUAGGGUGCAAGCAUUAAUCGGAUUUAUUGGGCGUAAAGGGCGCGUAGGCGGGAUGGUAAGUCAGAUGUUAAAGACCGAAGCUCAACUCCGGAAAAGCAUUUGAGACUGUUGUUCUAGAGGGUAGGCGGAGAAAAUGGAAUUCCACAAGUAGCGGUGAAAUGCGUAGAUAUGUGGAAGAACACCGGUGGCGAAGGCGGUUUUCUAGCUUAUACCUGACGCUGAAGCGCGAAAGCAAGGGGAGCAAACAGGAUUAGAUACCCCCGUAGUCC